GCUCUGCUUGGCAGCAGGGUCUGUGUUACCAGCUGCAGUUGUCCCUGCUCUCAUCCCCUGCGAUCCUCCUGUUGCUGAGGUCUCCAAGGUAAAGCUCAAGAUGAUGGAGUUCUUGCGGAUGUCUACUCCACAGAAGAGUGCUGCAAAGAAGACACUGGCAAAUAACCUUUUCCUUCUGUGAUUUUUUCUUUCUUCUUGCCUCCAGCAAAAUAGCAAAGGCCCAAAGUGAUGAUCGCAUAAAGAAGUAAACCAAGCAGAAGCGAAGAUGGCUGCAAUCAACAGGUUUUCCUGCAGUGCAAGAGACUAUACGUUUCACAAAGGGCAAUAAGGAGAGUAUAUGCUGAAGGAGUGGAUUUCAACUUUAGAAAGCAGGAAGAAUUAAGAAAAAUCACCCACAUACAACUGUAGUAGUCCUAAUGGUAGCCUAAACCCCUGCAAAUUGAUGAAAGAACAGGGUCUAUCUUCCUCUAUCUAUCCUCUGGCUAGAAGAGAAUACUCAAUGAGGCUGGACAGAGAAUAAAUGAAUGAAAAAAUAUUUAGUAUACUUAUUUAAUUAGUGCCUUCUGCUUCCAGCGGUCAUGUGGCAGAAUACGAGACUAACCAGAACAAGGUAGCUACCUAUGGAAUAAUCAAACUUUCAGCAGCGGAGAGAAAGACAUCAGUCUGCUCAGACUGGCACAGCAAAGAAAUGCAGUCAACACCAAACUUCCACUGCUGGAAACAUGCUGCUUCUUUAAUGCAUUUGAUAAAGCACUUACUAAAAAAAGCUGAAAUAAAAAUCAAGCAUGAUCAUAGAAUGUUUUGGUUCAGAAGGGACCUCAAAGAUCAUACAGAUCCAACCCCCCUGCCAGAGGCAGGGUUGCCAACCGCUAGAAUAUGAAGAAUGAAUUUUCAAUGCAUCCAAAGACUUGGUAGAACAUGCCUCCUGGUUAUGAUUUGUCACUUGAAAAUGGCUUUUAUUGGUCGUUCUAUACCUUAGAUGAUAAUAAGGUACCCAAAGACACUCAGUGGCACUUAAUACAUGUACAAAUGCCUUCAGUUUUACUAAAAGGCUAAGUACAAUUGAGGAACAGCAUUAACUAAAAUUAUUUAAUAAAAGCACUUUUUUUUUGGCAAAACAACUAUUUUGAUUGGGGCAAAAUGCAUAUGCAUACUGGGGAUACUCAUUCCCAGGUGAAGUGUAACGCUAUUGUAACCCUGUGUCUAUAGAAUUAAAAUCAGGAUAUACUCGAAUAAAUUGAAUUUUUAAUGGCUAUUUGAUCUCUUCAAAGAUUCCCACCUUCUUCACUGAGAUGUCUCUUUUUGUGUCAAAUCUCCAAACAACUUCAAUGUCUGUCUGCAGCACAGAUCACAGAAUUUUCCCUUACGCUUAUUUAAGUUCUGCUUGACCUCCAUACCUGUCAGGUAUGGCACAAACAUUAUUUUAAGAGCAUCUUGUUCAUUUAACAGCCUAACCUGGGGUACAAUUAAUACACACAAUAUAGAUUGGUAUCAUAUUUUGUAAGAAGCUGCUCCAGCUGAAGCUGAUAAAUACCCAGCAACUCGUUUUAAUUGGAAUUGGAUUGAGCUUCCCAUGAAAUCAGUAAAAUUAGUGUCUAUCUAGAAAUUGCUGUAACUACUCCAAUUUGUUUCAUAUGAUUGCAUAACAAUAACACAGGAUCGAAUGAGGAAUUCACGGUAGGUAACUGAAAACACUCUAGAAAGUAGCAUUAGAAAAUGUGAUCUGAUUUUGAUGACAAUACUCAUUCAAAAUCCAAUGACAGUACUUUUUAAAUCUUUUUCAGUAUUAACAAACUUACAUUUACCUGCAGUACAGAGAGACUCUUCACAGAUUCAAUCUCUUUUAUCAGGUAGAUAAGCAUUUCAUAAUUUCUUUUUCCUUAGCCCUUUCAUCUCCUGCAGCAGCCUACUUUUGAAACUAGAAGGUUUUUUUCAUUUUUAAAGCUCUACUCAACCUCACACUUAAGCAUGGUGCCUUCAUCUAGAGAGAUGAGGAGCACUUCAACUUAACUUUUAUGGUUAAAAGCUCCAAUUCUGGAACAUUUCAGUAUGUCCAACCACCCAGGGAACCCAUCUGUAUUUCUGCUCUAAAGGGAAAAAAAACUUCAGCAGACCAACUGGUAGAUGAUGGGGAGGCUAAACCAGUGUCCAUUAAAUUCCAGGAAGGGAAUAAGCGACUUUGGUGCAUUUUGCAUCUCUCCAUCAUUUUUAACUUCUUUCUUUUUAAUCUCACACACACAUUGUCUUAUAUAACAAUCAACACCACUUCUGCAAAUACCCUGCUAUACCUCAUGCUGAAAAAGCAGACCAAAACAUUAUAUUUUUAGAGAAAAACUUGUUCACGCCACUAUAAAAAGCCUCUGUAUCUGGCAAAAAAAAAUAUUACUACCUGAAGUCACUGUCAUUACUUCAAUCAUACUAAUUAAGCUCAACUGAAGACUUGACAGUUUUUGGAGUGAGAUUUGCUUUCUACUAGAAGCAAAAAGUGGGAACAGUUAACAUCAGGCUGGCAGCAUGCCUUCUGGACACUUGUAAGCUGCCUACUGGAAGAAAAUACCCACAGUUUUUUCCUGUCUGCUCCUGUUGGACAAGGAGCAUCUAUUUCCCCCUAAAGAUGGGUGUUCCUUACAGUGACAUAGUAACUGUUACAUACAACAAAAGGAACAAAAUUAUAUAUAUAUUUUUUGUCAGAUCUAUAGCGUUGUGUUGAAUUAAAAUUAUUACACCUAGGACCACUUCAAAAAUAGUACAAGUGAACAGUGUUAUUAUUUCCAGGCCCCUACAUACUUUUUAAGAAAUGAGAAUGCUGUUCUUUUUAUAAGCAGAACUUGAACACUUCACGUUUCUAUUAAAAGUGAGAUUCACUCGAUGAAUUUAUUUUGUUUAUAGUUUAGGUAUUCUAAAUAGGUACUUUGUAAGAAUGAAAAGUAUUUGCUAUUUGAAGUGGUACACUUUAUAGUGGUCACCAUCUUUUUUUUAAUUAUCAUAAUAGUAACACAUGCAAUAUAAAACUAUAUAAAUUAACUUAAAAUUUAUGCAAUAAUUAUUAAUUACUGGCAAAAGUAUCUGCUUCAUGGGAUUCAGAGCAGAGACCUGACCAAAAAAGCCUGGAUAACUGAAGAUGACUUUCUACAUAUGAAACAGGAAUUCUAACCUGAAAUGAUGGAAUAAGAGCCCUAAACCUACUAGCCUUUGUAAGGAGUGUGGUACUGUAGCUUACAUACAACGAGUCUUCAUUUCUUCCAUCCUUCCUUCCAUUUCCUGCUCUCACUAACCUCCUGCAAGCUGCUGGAGACUGGCAGUGCGUGUGAUGUGGCUGUUCAAUAGACCAAAGUAUGAAAAAUACUUAAUAACUUUUUCUCACUAUGGUUAGCAUGCAUGAAAUGAAUGAGGCUUCCUGCAUAAGGGAUAAAUCCAUAACUAAAUGUCAAAAACUAUAACUCUCUCUGAAGGUAGCUUAUUAAGAAUUUGCUAUGGUUCAUUUUACAGUGACACUUCCAUAUUCAGGAGUGUCAGAAAACAGAGGAGUAGCCUGGGAUCAAUUCAUUCUGACAUUAAAAUAGGAGGAGAUAUAAAGGGGAAAGGGAGGGAGAACAGAACUGGUAUCUAACAAAGCAUCUGAACUCAUUCAAAGAUAAAGCAAAUUCAAGAUUCAUUACUGAACUCCCCAGUUCCAAUCAGACAGGU